ACUCCUGCGGGAGGCAGCAGUGGGGAAUAUUGCACAAUGGGCGCAAGCCUGAUGCAGCCAUGCCGCGUGUAUGAAGAAGGCCUUCGGGUUGUAAAGUACUUUCAGCGGGGAGGAAGGCGAUAAGGUUAAUAACCUUGUCGAUUGACGUUACCCGCAGAAGAAGCACCGGCUAACUCCGUGCCAGCAGCCGCGGUAAUACGGAGGGUGCAAGCGUUAAUCGGAAUUACUGGGCGUAAAGCGCACGCAGGCGGCCUGUCAAGUCGGAUGUGAAAUCCCCGGGCUCAACCUGGGAACUGCAUUCGAAACUGGCAGGCUAGAGUCUUGUAGAGGGGGGUAGAAUUCCAGGUGUAGCGGUGAAAUGCGUAGAGAUCUGGAGGAAUACCGGUGGCGAAGGCGGCCCCCUGGACAAAGACUGACGCUCAGGUGCGAAAGCGUGGGGAGCAAACAGGAUUAGAAACCCGAGUAGUCC
rnacentral:rRNA from 1 species